rnacentral:misc_RNA from 1 species
AAAUAAUGAAAACCCAAAGUUAAACUGACUCGACUUGGACCCCAUAUGUUUGAAUUAACAAUGUCAAACAUGGAUGCAGCUCGAUUAUCAAUCCUCCUUGGAAAAGAACGAGUUUGUUUGCCAAGUUGAUAAGACUCAUAAUUUAAAGAGGAUAAUUGGGAAAGACAAGGAACCAGUUUCUGAAGUUUGAAGAUAUUUGGGUGACCCAAAUCAUUAUGAAGAAGAUCAAGAGUGGCAUCAAAAGUAAAGGCAAUUGGAGACUUUG